rnacentral:rRNA from 1 species
AUACGGAGGGUGCAAGCGUUACUCGGAAUCACUGGGCGUAAAGCGCGCGCAGGCGGUCUUUUAAGUUGGAUGUGAAAGCCUACGGCUCAACCGUAGAACUGCAUCCAAAACUAUUAGACUAGAGUGUGGGAGAGGAAGAUGGAAUUAGUUGUGUAGGGGUAAAAUCCGUAGAGAUAACUAGGAAUACCAAAAGCGAAGGCAAUCUUCUGGAACACUACUGACGCUGAGGCGCGAAAGCGUGGGGAGCAAACAGGAUUAGAAACCCCGGUAGUCC